GCUUAGCCCUAAACACAGACAAUAAAAAACACAACAUUGUCCGCCAGAGAACUACAAGCGAAAAGCUCAAAACUCCAAGGACUUGGCGGUGCUCCACACCAGCCUAGAGGAGCCUGUCCUAUAAUCGAUACCCCACGUUAAACCUUACCGCCCCUAGCCAUUCAGCCUAUAUACCGCCGUCGUCAGCACACCUUAUGAAAGAAACAACAGUGUGCACAACAAUUAUAAAUUAAUACGUCAGGUCAAGGUGUAGCAUAUGAGGCGGAAGAGAUGGGCUACAUUUUCUACUACAGAAUAGACGAAAGGGGCAAUGAAACAUGCCCCCGAAGGCGGAUUUAGCAGUAAGACAGCCAAGAAAUGCUAUCUUAAAACCGCUCUGGAGCGCGC
rnacentral:rRNA from 1 species